rnacentral:rRNA from 1 species
GACGAAGGACCCAAGCGUUAUCCGGAUUCAUUGGGUUUAAAGGGUGCGUAGGCGGAUUGAUAAGUCAGUGGUGAAAUCUUCCCGCUUAACGGGAAAACUGCCAUUGAUACUGUCGAUCUUGAAUAUGGUUGAUGUGGGCGGAAUAUGACAUGUAGCGGUGAAAUGCUUAGAUAUGUCAUAGAACACCGAUUGCGAAGGCAGCUCACAAAGCCAUUAUUGACGCUGAGGCACGAAAGUGCGGGGAUCAAACAGG